rnacentral:rRNA from 1 species
AUGCCGGCACAUAAAGACAUCGUCGUUCGGCGGGGCUCGAUCGUGGUGGAUGGCGUCUCCUUCCUGCUGGAGCCAUGGAGGGAGGACACGCAUGCCAUCCACGACACCUGGAUGCUGCAAGUUCGCGUCGUCAUGGAGAAGCCGCCGAUGCCGCUCUGGACCCUGGAGGGCGCGAAGGAGGCGCUGGGCGACGCGGUCAUCAUCGACCGUCUCGACAGCCAUACGUUCAAGCGCGCGGACACGAAGCUGUUCGCCGUCUCGGUGUGGGUGUGGCAGCUGCACCACAUCCCCACCAAGCGAACCCUGUGGAAGCAUGCCAGAGGUGCCGGCUGGGUGGAGGAUAUGAUUGGUUUCUCGCCUCCUAGCCGGGUCGUCGCGCCGCCGCCGGACCUGCUGUGCUAG